UGAAAUAAGCACGAGUAAGGUCCUUGUUUCCAUUCAGCUUCUCUGACUUUCAACUCUAGAUUAUUUGCGACCUCGUGCUUGCUCGUAAUGCAGUAAAACCUUGUGUUUGCAGUCAUUACUCAGGGGAAGGUUUCUGCAAAAUGGAAGAUUGACAAAUGGUGAAAGAACUGCUUCAAAUGCAGCGAGUGAGCUGGGCUUACUGAGGCAAAGACAUACUGUGUCUGAUUUAAGGUAAAAGUGGACCUAAAUUUUAAGCGUCGUUCUCUAGAAAUUUUUUGUUUUUAUUCCACCCGAAAGUAAUGAGCUAUUUCAGAUGCAGUAACUCACUUAUCUAGCAGGUUGGAGAGGCAGUGGGGGAACGUGCGCGGGGGGUGGGGGGGUGGGGAAGCUGUGUUGAAAUUUUUUAUUAAAUCCACAGGAGUAAUUAUUAUGUGAAAGCAGUUACAUAAAAUAAAAUGAACCACUUAACAAAUAAAACGUCUCAGCUCACUGGUUGAGCGCUUCUUCUCUCUAGCUUAACUGCUUAAGUCGGGAGUUCGAGUCUCAAUUUCGACCUGUAUUUUACUUAAUGUUUUGGACUUCAGUUUUUUUUAAAAUUAGUGCUCAGAAGUGAUUGAACCUCUGACCUAUUCAAAGGCGAGUGCGAACAAAAUCACUUAGCAUGUACAAAUGCCUCAUAUCAACAAAAGGGAAAGUGGUUCUACCUUGAUCUUUUUUUUUGAGCAAAACAUUAGCUCUCACAAAUGUAGCCCAUCAACUCUCUUUGUUAGAAAUGCCUCAUAUCAACCCCUGACCUGAUGGAUGUUUUUGCAUGUUUUGAGUUGCUCUUGCUCUGCGGUAAUAUUAUCUUAGUGUUCUCUUUUGUCAGCCAAAAGGUGCAUUUGUUCACAUAAAUAGUAUCUGUCAUCUCUUCUCGCCAGCAGUCGUACCUGACACAUGAAAU
rnacentral:lncRNA from 1 species